rnacentral:rRNA from 1 species
GAUGAACGCUGGCGGCGUGCCUAAUACAUGCAAGUCGAGCGAACAGACGAGGAGCUUGCUCCUCUGACGUUAGCGGCGGACGGGUGAGUAACACGUGGAUAACCUACCUAUAAGACUGGGAUAACUUCGGGAAACCGGAGCUAAUACCGGAUAAUAUAUUGAACCGCAUGGUUCAAUAGUGAAAGAGGGUGUUGCUGUCACUUAUAGAUGGAUCCGCGCCGCAUUAGCUAGUUGGUAAGGUAACGGCUUACCAAGGCAACGAUGCGUAGCCGACCUGAGAGGGUGAUCGGCCACACUGGAACUGAGACACGGUCCAGACUCCUACGGGAGGCAGCAGUAGGGAAUCUUCCGCAAUGGGCGAAAGCCUGACGGAGCAACGCCGCGUGAGUGAUGAAGGUCUUCGGAUCGUAAAACUCUGUUAUUAGGGAAGAACAAAUGUGUAAGUAACUAUGCACGUCUUGACGGUACCUAAUCAGAAAGCCACGGCUAACUACGUG